AAAUCAAAUAAAAAUCUUAAUUAAAUCUUAGUCAAAACCUAGUCAAAACUUUGUCAAAUCCUACUCAAAUCUUAAAUAAGCCUUUACCAAAUCCUAGACAAGGCCUAGUCAAAUCCUAGUCAAAUUCUCAUCAAACUCCAAUCAAAUUGUAAACAAAACCUAAUCAAAUCCUAAUCAAAUCCUAAAUAAAUCCUAAUCAAAUCCUAGACAAAUCCUAAAUAAGUCCUAAUCAAAUCCUACUCAAAUUCUAAUGAAAUUCUAAUCAAAUUCUAAUCAAAUCCUAAUCAAAUUCUAAACAAAUCCUAAUAAAAUCCUAGUCAAAUCUUAGACAAAUUCUAAAUAAGCCUUUAUCAAAUCUUAGACAAAUCCUAGUUAAUUUCUAGUCAAAUUCUAAUCAAAUGUUAAUCAAAUCCUAAUCAAAUCCUAAACAAUUCCUAAUCAAAUUCUAAACAAAUCCUAAUAAAAUCCUAGUCAAAUCUUAGACAAAUUCUAAAUAAGCCUUUAUCAAAUCCUAGACAAAUCCUAGUUAAUUUCUAGUCAAAUUCUAAUCAAAUGUUAAUCAAAUCCUAAUCAAAUCCUAAUCAAAUCCUAAUCAAAUCCUAAGUAAAUCCUAAUGAAAUCCUAGAUAAACUUUAAAUAUGCCCUACCAAAUCCUAAACAAAUCCUAAUCAAUUCCAAGUAAUUCUUUUAGCAGUUCUAAUCCUCAAUAAGUAAUGAAUGAACCAUUGAUUUUAACUCAAAUUUUACACACUUCUUAAAAAUUAAGUUGAAAACAAGCACAAAAAAGAAUUUAAAAAAGAUUGGAAUUAUCAAAUAAACAAUAACUUCAAAAAUGUGCUUAGGUCUUGGCCAGCCUCCUUCUUUGGCCUUUAUACCAAUCUCUCAGAGCCAAUUAUUCCUGAUUGAACCGUUAUUUUACUUCUAAACUUUAUAUACUUAUUAGAAAUCAAGUUGACUAUCUCUAUGAAAUAAUUUGCUUCAAUCUAACAUGUAGAUUGACAAAUAUUUAAGAAAACCUCACUGGUCCUGAAAACCUUAAAUUUUGAGACCAUAACCUACCAAAAUAUUCAUGCCUUUCAAUCUAACUUUUUAAUCAAAUCUAAAUUCACACUACACAUUAAGCACAACUAUACCUACAAAUCCAAAAAAAUUCACCCAUAGAUCUAUUGCCAAACUUACAAAAUUCUUCAAAAAGUAUCACCUAUUUUAUUUUACAAAUCCAAAGUCAUCCAAAACAAACCUCAAAUUUGCAAAGCUCUUACAAAGUUAAUAUGCUUUCAAAUGACUCUAAAUUAAUGCUUAAAGAAAUUCCAUCAAGUCAGCUCCUAGAUCCUACUCUUUGAUCUCCAAAAGAACCCCAGAAUCAUUGUCAAGGCUUAAUUUUGUGCCUUAGGGUCUGAUUUUGAUCCUGAUUGAUAAUUGGUCUUCUUUGGGUAUCAACUUAUAGAUUUCUAAGGUAAUUUUUUCCACAAAAUAUGCUUGACUUCUUUCCAAAUGUGUCUAUAUUGUUUAUUUUUCUAAUCUACUUUAUUUUUCUUUAUUUGUGGUCCUACAAAGUAAGCAAAAGUUUAUUUUGUAAAAAAGUAGCAUUAGCACAUUUAAUUUUUCUAUCCCUUGACUAUUAUCUAUUUUUCUAAUAUGAUUUAUUACAAUAUAUUUAAAAUAAGAUAUUCAAAAAUAUGAUAUUUUCUACAUCCUUUCACCUAUUAGCCAUUUUACAUCACAACAUCCACUCCCUCUAAAUCAGUGCAUCUUCUAGCAUGCACUAAGUUUUCUAUAUCAUUUUUACGUAAAAUGGCCUUCAUCUUGGUCAAGUUCUUGAUCUUCAACUUGUUUUUCCUUCUUUCAUCUCAAUAUCUCCUAAUAAAUUUUGUUCUUCAUUAAAACAAAUGCCUUCACCUCUUUAUUUAAAAAAUAUGAUUUGUUUGCCUACCAUAGGUAUCUUCAAUUUUGUACCAUCAAAUUCUUAUAACAAAUAUGUUCCAUUGUUGUACACUUAUUUCACAACAUGAGGCCCAAAUCAUCUCUUUGCAAAUUUCUUAGUCGUUCUAUGUUGAUUGUCUAAGCUACUAUCAUAAACUAACACCCAAUUACUAUCUUCAAUUUUUUUAGGUCGUAGUCAAUGUUUCUUAUCAAAUCUUUCUUUAUUUUUUUUCCCUGCUUCUUUCAACCUUGUUAUUGCUGCCUAAAUAUCAUUAGGUCUUCUUUCUAAUUGUUAAAUCUGUAAUCCUAAAAGUUCUUCUAUAUUGAGAUCAUCCUUCCAAAGUAAUACAUCCCAUAAAGAUAAUACUUCUUUUAUUGAUAUUAUUGAUUUUUGUCCAUACAUUAAUUCAAAAGGUAUAUAAUUUGUUACUAAAUUAUGAAUUUUAUAAUCUAUUUAUAGUAUAAAUGGUAAUAGUCUAGGUCAUUUAUGUAUUUUUCCAUUGCAUGCCUUUACUAAUACCUUAACAAUAGGCAAAUAUCUGUUAAGGAUAUGAAUUGGAAGAUGAUGCAUAAACCAAUGAAAUCCAUGUCAAAAAAAAAGUGACAAAAUAGAAAUAAGGAAGUAGGUAUAUUAAAAAGGAAUUAGAAUGGUUUAUUGCCAAAAGACAAGAAAACUUGAGACUCUUGAAACUAGAUUAGAAGCAAGAAAGGAGUUGACAAGAGUGAAGAAGGCUUCACUCUUGUCUCUAUAUAUACUAUAUAAUUAAAAGCUACAUGGCAAUGUUUUAUAAGACCUCUAAUAUGUGUUGACUUUGUAGGACACAUGCCUUGACUUACAAGGCAAGUUUUUCUAUAUGUACACUACAUAAUUAGUUUGUUCUUCAAGCUACCAACAUGUGUUGCAUAUGGUUAAUUUAUUAACCAAGUUUUUAACUUAAAAGUCAUUAAUGAAUAUCUAUAAAGUCAAAAUAAUAUCUAUAAAGCUUUUAGAAAGCUUCCUCAGAAGAUAUUAUAGAAUUAAUUUACUUUUGUUUUCUUCUAUGUACUUCUACUUAUUUAUAUAGAUAAUUAUUAGCUUACAUAUGUAUGUCCACGACAUUACCUUCUCUUCUAGAGACGAGUUCUACAAGGAGCGGUCAUCAUAAGUUGAAAAAAUCUAUGAUGUGAUGAAUUGUAUUUACUACAUACUCAGAUCUUUGUUCAAUUCAAAGAUGGUUGAUAGGGCCUCUCAACUAUCGAUAGUGUCCCAUACCAAGGCAAAAAGACUACCCUGUUAUUUGGUUAUUAUUAAAGCCUUCAUAACUUCUUUCAAAUAUAAUAUUUGAAACACCAUUAGGAGUUGUUCCUACCUCUAAUAAAAUUAUCAAACAUGUUAUAUCUUACCAUCUAUUCAAGGGAAAACAUGUUGUUUUUGAAGAUCUUCAUCUCGAUUGCAUCAUCUUGAACAUUGUGACAAUAGAAAUGUCUUGUUUGGUAGGUCAACAAACAAAGGCUCUUUAGUCAAAUCCACUGGUUGUUGGUUCUCUAUCUCCUCAGUGUCACAAUUACAAAGAAGCUACAAAAAAGGAUUGAAAUUAGAAUAUUAUCUUACUUAGAUCUUCUUUCUAUUAUGGAAAAGAUCUUCAUCUUGAUUUUGAUGGAUGUUGUUGAUGAAAAGCCUCCACCUUCUUUGUUGUAUUUGCAAGAUUCUUUGUUGGUUCCCAUGUGCAUUCACUAAUAUUAUAUCCAAAUCAAUGAACAAGAUAUUCUAACUUAUUUUGGCGCCGCAUUGAGUCUAAGACUUCUUCUACUUCAAAUUCUUCAUUAUUGUCCACUUUUAUAGGAGGAGGUAGCACUUGUCUUUUUUUAGUAUGUCCAUUUUCUUGUAUAGUUUAAGAAGAGACACAUGGAAUAUUAGAUGGAUUUUUAUUGACUCCGGUAGGUGUAAAUAAUAUGCAACUGGAUUGAUUUGUACAGAAAUAGGAAAUGGUCCAAGCUUAUGAUAGUCCAAUUUGUUACAAAGACAAGCAGUCCUCAUAUUACGAUGAAGUAACCAUAUCUUGUCAUCCACGUGGAAUGGUGGUUGUUCUUUUUGAUAGACAUUUGCAUUGAUCUUUUGUUCUUCUUGAACUUCUUUUAAUUAUGCCUUUAUUGUUGCAUAUAGCUCCGACAAAUGAUUUGCCAAAUCUUUUGCCACAAGAUUAUCAACUUUUAAAAAGUCAAAAGUAUCAAGUUAUGGAUGAUAACCAUAAUUGGCAAAAAAAAUUAAUUUUUUUGUAGAAGAAUGUAUUGUGUUUCUAUAAGCAAACUCUGCCAAUGGCAAAAGAGUUGUUUAAUCAUCUUGUUAAUAGUUGAUGAUAUAUCUUAAAUACUGCUCUAAAACUUGAUUAAUAUACUUUGUUUUUCCAUCAAUUUGAGGAUGGAAUAUCAAAGAUAACUUUAUACCUACUUUUAGAAUCUUGAAAAGAGUCUGUGUGAGUGGAUUUUUCUCCCCCCACUUAAAUUUGAUUUAAUUAGAUUAUAACUUACAUUAGAGCUUAAUAUUAAUUGAUGUGGAGAUGUAAUUCAUAUAUAAGAUAGGAAAAAAAUAAUAUAAUAAUCAAGAUUAAUCCAAAAAUAUAAAAAUUUAGUUAUACAUUUAUAUGAUCUAAUUUUUAGCAUUUGUAGUUCAUUUAGUUAAGUACCUUCCAAGACUUAAAAACUAAAAAUUAAAAAUUAGAAUAAAAUAAAAUAAAAAAUAAUAAAUAUCAUGCUAAAGUGCUAGUCUAGGGCUUCCCAAGGUGGUAUUAACCAUGUAAAUCGAAGUUCUAUAUAGGAAGUUAUCUAUGGAUGAAGCUUUGAUGACAAAACUUCAUCUAAAAUUGGAAAUUUAGUAAUAAAUAGCCUUAAAUAUUUAAGUUCAGCAUUAACAUGAUGUUAAGAUUUUUAAGAUAAAAGAUGUAAAAUGGAAGAUUACAAAAUUAAAAAUUAAAAUUAAAAUUAAAAAUUAAAAUUAAAAAUUAAAAUUAAAAAUUAAAAUUAAAAAUUAAAAUUAAAAAUUAAAAUUAAAAAUUAAAAUUAAAAAUUAAAAUUAAAAUUAAAGUUAGAAUUAAUAAUUAAAAAUUAAGUAAAAAUUUAAAAGUAAUAGAAGUAAAAGUUGAAGGUUAAAAGUAAAAGUUUAAAUUUUAAAGUUAAAGAAAUAGGAAAAAAAAUUAAAAGAUCAGAUUAAUUUUUAUUUUAUUUUUUAUUUUAUCCUUAAAGGAUAAAAAUGGAUGGAAAGAUAAGAAUUUAAGAUUAAUUUCGAGAGUGAGGUAAAAAGUUCUUUGAAAUUAUUAAAUAAUGUUAAUUAAUGAUAAUAAAAUGAAUGAAUGAUAAUAUAGCAAUUUAGGUGAUAAAAGAUGUGAUUAGAGGGUGAUUAGGUAAGGAAAACUUACUUAGAGUAUGUCGAGUUGAGGGCAACAGAUCCCUUGUUGUUAAAAAAUUUGCCAACAUUCUCCUACAGCUUCUAUAUACUUGAAUUUUUUUUUGGUUGAGGUUGACUUAGAGUUGCUCCUAUCUACCAAAUUCCAUGGUGUGCCGAGGUUUGACAUCCGAGAUAUGUGUUUUCAAAGCAAGGUGACUUGAGCUGCCUAGGCAGCAAACCCCCUUCUACUUAAAAAUUCACUAAAAAUCAGUAAAUAGUUUAAAAUUGACAAGUACAACUUUUUCUAAAACUAAACUUAAUAAAGUUCUUUCUCCAAUAAAUUUCAGCACAAAAAUGUAGGUAAGUACUUAGUUACAAUUUUUCAAAGCUGGUUGUUCAAAACUGCCAAGGCAACAGAUCUCUUUGCAUUUACAAAUUCAUUUAAAAUUUGAUAUAGCUUGGGAAUUAGUGAUUUAAAUUUUAAAGUAAACAAAACUUUAGAUUGCAUUCAUUUUAAUAAUCUAUAUCAAAGUUGAAUUAGAGGUCACUAAGUUAUAGAUUUUUUAAGUCGAUGCUCCUACUUUGCCAAGGCAGUAGAUCCUUGCCACCUUGAAAACUCCCCAAAAAUUCGUCACAACUUCAAAUCAAACUUACUUUAUGCCAUUACAAUGCUAAGAGUGAUUAAAAUCUGUUUACAAAGUUUUAAAAAAAUAAAAUAAAAAGUGAUAGACUCAGUGAGUUAAAACCGAGGCUAUACAAGUUUAAAGAAGAUUUGCAUUCACAAGAUGGGGGGACAUUUUGCCAUGGCUUUGCUACAAGAAGAUAUAGAGAGAGGGAGCUCGGCCACCCAAGCCCUCUUAACUAGGUGGAAAGAGGCCCAAAAGUGGCAGACACAUCUCCACUAUGAAAAUCGGAAAAUUCCUAAUUAAGAUCAAGGGUCAUCAAUAACUCUUAGCCUAAUUCCGAUUUUAAGGCUGGAAAUGCCUAGACCUCAAAAACCAACACCUUUUUGGUGAAUCUAAUACCACCAAUAUCUCUAAAACAUAUUUUUAUCCUAAGAUCAACUAUUCACAAGCCCAAAUCUGAGUUCUAAAUCAUAAGAGCCAAUUAAUUUGCUAAUUUAGUUAUAAAUUUCUACUACAAUUUUAAUUCUAAUUAGCCUAUUUGGAAAUCAGCAAGGGUUCUUGCCAUCAAAACCUUCAUAAUCACCAUUCUUCAAUUUAAACUCCCUUAAGCAUGAACUCUUGGCAAAUCCAAAACCUAAUUGUAAAUUAGCCUUGAAUUAAUACGCUUGUGAUUUUUUCCAAUUUUUCUUUUUUUCAACUUCAAGUAGUGAUUAAAAUCACUAUGAGAGGAAACUCCACCAAAAAAUUUAGCUUGGCUCCAUCUUUUUAAGAUCAUCAUUAAUUUAACAAUUAGACUUUAUAUUUUUAAUCCAAUUAAAUUAAAAAAUAAAAUUUAAGCUUUAAAAUCUUAAAAUUAAUUAAGAAGAUAAAGCAAUUAGGUUUAAGGGACUUUCUAAUCAUAGUCAAAUUAUAAAUUAGCUUUUGGAUUGAAAAUUAAGAUUGUGGAUUAAUUUAAGAUAUAAUUCCUAAGAAUUAGAAGAGAAAUUUUACUAAAAUUGUAGUUUUAUCACUAAAAAAUUGAUUUAAAGUAAUUCAAGAAAAAAAAAUCAUAGACCUUUUGAAAGUACUAUCUUUUCUUUUGAAUUUUAAAACAAUCAAUCAAUCUACUAAUUAGAAGUAUCAUCUAAUUAACAACCUAAAGAUAUGAUCAAAAUCAUAAUUAACUAAAAAACUAAUUUGGAUCUAUUAAUUAAUUAUAUUAGUAUUAAAAAUUAGUAAAAAUAUAUUAAAAAUUAUAUAAAAAAUGGUAACUAAGUAUUGGAGCUUUUAAUUAUGCUCACACAUGGCAACCAUCUUGAUACAAAUUGAGUUCUCUUAUCUAAUUUGAUAUCUUUGAAUAAUCCAUGAUAGCGAUAGAUAUUAUUAAGAAAGAGUUUAGUUGUUUUUUUUUACCUGUGAUAGAUAUUGUACAUAGUACAAAUUGUGCCAUCUUAAUAAAACAAUCUACUAUUAUGAAUAUAGAAUCAUAAGAACUUGAGAUUAGAAGAUCCAUAAUAAAAUCCAUAGAAACAAAAGACCGUGGUUAUUCUGGAAUAGAUAAUGAUUGAAGAAGUCUAUAAGGUUGAUAAUAAAGAGUUUUUGAUUUUGAACAAAUGUUACAUAACUGAACAAAGUCUUUUACACCCUUCUACAUUUGUGGCUACUAAAAAUCUUUGAAUAUAUGCUCUAAAGUCUUGUUGUAUUUCAAAUGUCCUACUGUUAGAAAGUCGUGACAUGCUUGAAGAAUAUGUUAUUGUGUUUUUUCUUUAGAACAUAUAAUUGAGCUUCAAAAUAAUAUUGGUUGUUUUUGAACUCAAAAUUAGAAGUAUUUUGGAACUUAAAAAAAAGAUUUUGGAUGUUGUAAAUAAGAGGAUAAGAAGACAUACUUGAUUGGAUUUAUUUCAUAAGGGUGGAAUCAAGAAUCAAUGUUGAUUUCAUUACUCUAAGAUGGAAAUGCUUAGUUUUCAAGAAAAUUAUUAUUUGUUGAUGAAAAGAUGCAUCUCUUUUUUUUGGUGCAAGAUAAAAAUGUCUAAAAAGAGCGUUUGUUAAACCUUGUUCUUUUUUCAAAUCAAUAUGAGAUCUUGAAAUUAAAUCUUGAUAAAGACAUCCUUCAAUGACCUUGGCGAUGAUUCAAAAUAAGUGCUAAUAUAAAGUACUUGAGAUUCUUGUGGCCCGUAUAUACAAUGACUGAAUUAGAAGCGCUUUUUAGAUGAUGAUACCAUUCUUGAAAUGAAUCCAUGAUUGCAAGAAGCUCUUUUUCAUGGAUUUCAUAGUUAAUCUCGGUUGUUGAAUUUUUUUUGGAAUAAAAAGCUAUUAAGUAAAGUUUAUAAUCAAUUCCCAUUUGUGAUAAUACGGCAUCCAAAGCAAAGUCUGAUGCAUCUAUUUCCAUAAAAAAUACCUUAAAAAAAUCAAUGCGAUAUAAGAUUGGUGCACAAAUAAAAGCUGAUUUGAAAGCUUCAAAAGAUGCUUCAACUUCUUUGCUCCACUUAAGUUUGUCUUUGCAAGUCAAACAUGAAAGUGGAGGUACAACUUGAAAAAAAUUCUUUGAAGAAGAUCCGAUAAUAGUUGGCAAAGCCUAAAAAAUAUUAGAUAUCUUUUAUCAUUUUUGGAAUCUUUCAAUCCAUAAUAGUUUGAACUUUCUUAGGAUCUAUCAUAAGUCCAUCAUUUGAAAUGAUAUAUCGUAAGAAGUCAACUUGAGUAGUGUAGAAUACACACUUUUUUUUUUAUCUUGGCAUAGAAUCCCGCAUCUCUUAAUUUUUGUAACCUACAACAAAUAUGAAGUUCAUCUUCAUCUAUAUUCUUAGAAUAGAUUAAGAUGUCAUCCAGAUAAUAGAUAACAAAAUUAUCCAAAAAAUCUUGAAAAAUAUCAUUUAUUAAAUUUUAAAAAGCUAUCAAUGCAAUUAUAAGUCCAAAAGGCAUAAAGUCGUAUUCAAAAUAUCCAUACCUAGUUUGAAACAUAGUCUUCCAUACAUCUCCUUCUUUAAUAUAUAUUAGAUUACAUGCUCUCUGUAGAUCUAUUUUUGUGUAGAUCUUAGCUUGAUUUAAUUGAUCGAGAAGUUUGGAUAUCAAAAGUAGAGGGUAUCUAUUCUUGAUGGUGAUCUUUUUGAAUCCACGAUAAUCAACACACAUCUAUAAUGAUCCAUCUUUCUUCUUUACAAAUAAGAUUGGAAUUCUUGCUGGUGAUUUGGAAUGGCAUAUAAAAUUCUUGGCCAGAUUUUCUUCAAUAUAUUCUUUGAGUUCAGCCAAUUUAUUUUGUGAUAAACUAUAGAUUGGUCCAAAUGGCAGUUGUAUUCCUUUUUGAAGGUCAAUUGAGCAGUCAUAGGAAUGAUGUUUUGAAAGAGUAUCCUCAUUCUUUUUCUCAAAUACAUCUUGAAACUCUUGAUAUUAGCUUGGAAUGCCACGUAAAGUCUUUGCAUUAUUAGAAAUAGGUGUGGCAUAAAUGAUACAAGGUGAUCUUUCUUUUGCAGCAUGUAAGAAAGCUCUCACACUUACAAAUAUAAGUUUUAUUGUGCUAGACUUAUAGCUUUCUACUCGAUUAAUUUCAUUGUUAGUUAUACUCUUAAAAAAUUCAAGAGUAUAAGAAAUCCAAUCUAUGCAAGGAUUAUAAUUUUUUAACCAUGAUAAACCUAAAAUGAUUGGAUUAGAAAUAGUCUAAUUAUAUUAAAGAUUAUGCAAUUACUAUGACUAUUUAUUGUUAUAUCUAUAGAAAGUAUUUUAUGAAUAAUAUCUCUAAAAGAUAAUAGACAACCAUCUAUGACUUCUAUAUGAAUAUGUUUAGUUUUUUGUAUUAACAAUAUUUUAUGACUUUUAAAAAAUUCUACGUCUAAAAAAUAAGUUGAGAUUCCUAAAUCUAUCAAAGUGGAGGCUUUAUAAUUAUUAGAUUCUAAAUGCACAUCUAUUAUAAAAUAAAGAUAGGAUUUUGAAGAGAGGAUAGGACCUUGAUUAGAAAUUAUACAAGAUUCUAGUUACACAAUCCCUAUUAUAGCUGAAUAAAUUUAUUUUCUGACACAUUGUCUUCUUUAAUAGUUGUGAUCCUCAUUUUGUAGUUUCGUCACUUCUUUGGAUAAUCUUAAACAGUGUAUUUAGAUUCUCCAUAAUAUAAGCACAAUCCUUCUUGAUUACAACAAGUAUUUUUUUGCUCAAUAAGAGAUUUAAAAUGUAUCACAUCAAUUUGCAUAUCUUCUACUUUUGAAUAUAUGUGAUGAAGAGAUAUUGGUGUUGCCAUCAAAUUGUAUUAAUAUUGAGGCGGACUUAUGAGACUUUCAUAGCAAAGUCAAUUGCUUGACUCAAUAUUUGAGGAUCAUUCUUGUUGAUCCUUGUGGUGGUAAGCUAAAUUGAUGCAUUACAAGCAUCAGCUCUCUCAAUUGCUCUUGUAUUUGUACUAUUGCACUCUUCAUUUCAAUAAACUUUGCCAUAAUAAUACCCAAAAAAAUAUCUAAUACUACUCAAGACAAGUAGAAGAAAGAAUUUAAGGACAAAGAAAAUACUAAGAAUAAUAUCAAUUUAGAAGAAGAUUAUCUGCAACUUCUAAUAGGCUUAUGUCUUAUCAUGAGAAAGGGAUAAUUUAAUCUUAAUCAAGACAAGACAAACCUCUAAUAUUCUAAGUGUAUUCUUGUCAAUCUGUCAAGGACAUGAACUAAAAGAUGAUGCAUAAAUCAAUGAAAAUCACAUCAAAGAAAAAGUGACAAAAUAGAAAUAAGGUAGUAUGUAUAUUAAAAAAAAACUAGAAUGGUUUAUUGCCAAAGACAAGGAAACUUGAGACUCUUGAAACUAGACUAGAAGCAAGAAAAGAGUUGACAAGAGUGAAGAUGGCUUUAUUCUUGUCUCUAUAUAUACUAUCUAAUUAGGGGCUACAUGGCAAUGUUCUAUAGGACCUCCAAUAUAUGUUGACUUUGUAAUAUACAUGCCUUGACUUACAAGGUAAGUUUUUCUACAUAUACGCCACAUAAUUAAUUUGUUCUUUGAGCUAUCAAUGUAAGUGGUACAUAGUUAACUUGUUGACCAAGUUUUUAAUCUAAAAGUCAAUAAUGGAUACCUAUAAAGUCAAAACAGCAUCUAUAAGGCUUCUAAGAAGCUUCUUCAGAAGAUAUUAUAGAAUUAACUUACUUUUAUUUACUUCUAUCUAUUUCUAUCUAUUUAUACAUGUAAUUAUUGGCUUAUAUUUGUAUGUUUGUGACAAUGUCCAUGCUCACUCUUUCCAUUAUCUUUUGGAUUACAUGCUGUUGUUAAUGAAAGUUUAAUUCCUAUUCUAUUGAAGAAUUUUUGUGCUUUCCUAACAUCCAAUUCAUCCCUAUCUGCUGUAAUUUUUUUAAUACAAUCAUAGCAACAAAUAACAUCUUCCAAUAAAAAUUAGCAUACACUUUCAGUGUCCUUUGUUUUUAAUGCUCAUCCUUCAACCAUAUUUGAUAAAUCUUCUUGUACAAGUACCAAAUACUUCAUUUAUCCAAGUUCCAUUGGCAUUGCUACCAAAUCCACUAUCUAUUUAUAAUAUAAAAGUAAAGGAUAUGUUGGGUGUAAUCCAUCUCGAUGCUGAAUGUUUGAAUAUACUUGAUAAAUUUUACAAGAUUCUACAAAAUUUUCUAUAUUUUUAUGCAUGCCCUUCCACCAAUAUUUUUCUUUCAACUUAAUAAUUGUUGCUCAAAUAUUCCAAUGCCCAACUUAUUGACUCUUAUAAAAUUCUUUAAUGAUCUUUUGUUGAGUUUCAAUACUAUUUCUAACUUAUUAUGGAAUUCUAUCCCUUUUCUUUGGAUGCUUCCAUAAAAACCCAUUUUCAAGAAAAUACCUAUAUACUUUCUUUUGAAUCUUCUUAAAUUCUUUGUCCAUCCAAUCUUCUUGCCACAUUAAUGUACUUAAGUAUUUUCCUAUAUACAAUCAUUGACUAUUAUAUAAUUCUUCUAAGAAUAAUUUAAAUAGUGUAGCCAAAGACAAUCUAUCCCUUCUUGCACACAAAGUUGAAUAAAAGUCGGUGCCAAUAUUUUUUCCAUCAUCAAUCAGAUCAUCUUCAUUAUUAUAUUGUACUCGCAACAACAUAUUUGUAAUUGCAUUGUCUUUCUAUAAAAUUUCCUUGAAUUUAAGAUUCAUAGACUUUAUAUAUGCAAUCUAUCUUAACAUUGCAAUAUUUGGUGUUGAACAACUUAUAAUCAUAUCUAAUAAAGGUAGACAAUCUAUUUCUAUAAUUACCGAUAUGUCAAUCAAAUACUCUCUUUCAUUUUUCAUAGCUAUUACUACACCCUAUAAUUCUCUUUUGAUUUGCGCAUAUGUCCUUUGCCAAGCAUUUAAAACCUUUGCUCCAAACCUUACAACAUAUCUAUUCUCUUGUUCAUACAUAUGUCCAACCACCAAAACUUUCUUUAUUCCAAAUAUUGAUUUUGCCCUUGAUAAGGUUAAAUGAACCUCUUCUAAUCUUAUCAAAAUCUUUUUACAAUCAUCGAUAUGAAUUGCCACAAACUUCUUACACCCCUUCAAAUUCAAAGUCUCAUUUUUUUUUUUUUUUUUUUUUUUUUUUUUUAAAUCCUUUAAUUGGCACAUCAUCUAAUAAAGGCUUUGUUAUAUUUGAAAUAAAAUUUUUUAAUACCUUAUGCAUUCUAUUCAUCAUAUGUGCCACAAAAUUUGUAGCCCCUUGUGGUAAGGUACAUAUUUUGAUCAAUCCUAAUGGUAUCUUCAUAGAUGUCAAAUCUCUACUUUUCAUUGCCAAUUGAAAUUGAUUGUACUCCAAAUAAAGAUCUCCCAUAGAAUAAAUUACUCUUCUUGUACAUGCCUUUGCAAACUCAUCGACAAUUUGACUUAAGUCCAUAUUUCUAAUAGUUAUAUUAUUUACUAGUUGCAUAUCUUGAAUAAAUCUCAAUGUCCCAUUUUUCUUAGGUAACAUUGUUGUAUUGCAUGGUUUUCUAUUUGGGAAUACACUGGAUACCUAGCUGUAGAAAGUUUAGUUUUAACUUAUUGGCCAAGUUCCAAUAAGUUAUUUAAUCUUAAAAGUAGAAGACAAAUAAAUACUACAAUAUCAAAAAAAUAUUGUAUUAAUAAAUUCUUUUAUAUUUAAAAAGGUUUACACUUAAGGCUUCCUAAAAUAUCUAAAAAAAUUCUAACAUUCUUAGUUAUACCAAAUCAUAGCUAACUAUUUGCUGGUAGAUUAGAUUUUCAAUAACUUCAAAGGAAAUCCACAAUCUCCUCUCAAAAAAUCAUCUUUAUACAAAAAUUCAACCAUAGCUCUAUACAUCUAUUUUCAACAUAUAUAUAAAGUCUUUGCUUCCAAAAUACUCCUUUAUUUUGUAAAAAAUACUCAAGUCAUAAUAAAAUCCCUUCAAAAUAUAAUACUCUUAUAAAAGAUUAUUUUUUUUUGAAUUUUAGAAAUUUAUAUCUCUUGAUCCAACUAUUCAAAUUUUGCCAAAUUUACGAAUAUUAUAGAAUAUAUCCUUAAGCUUUACUUUACAAAAAUUCAAUUUUAAAUUCACUACCAAUCGUUUGAUAUCUUAAAAAUCCUAGUAGAUACUCUAAAACCCUAAUUCACAAGCACCUAAGUAUUAUUUUCUUUAUAUCUCACAAAUCCAUAAUCCAAAUGUUACAAAAAUUAUAUAUAAAAUUUAUUAAUAUAAAAAUAAAUAUUUUUAAAAUUCUUAGCCAAAAUCUUGUCAAAUUUCAUAAGAUAUAGCUCAAAACACAACUACUAGCAAUUCGGGUCACUUACAACUCCUUAGAUUCCAAAUACUGACUUCAACUUCCUAUAAUUCCUUUAUUUGAGCUCAAAAUUCAUCAAGAAAUAUACAUUAAGUAUAGCCAAAAAAGUGCUCUUUCGAACUCCAAUCGCCGAUCCUCUAUUGCUUUUUGUACGUGUGCAUUAUAUUCAAAAGAGUAACAAUAGGUACAAAAUCAACACCCUAACUUCGAGCUUCCAUACCUCUUUCAUAUAAACUCCAAAUGACUCAAAAUUUAUACCAAAAUCAUAGCCAAAAUCCUAAAAUUACUAAUCUUAGUCUCCAAAGCUUAAAUGCCUCAGAAAACCUAACCCCAAUCUCUAAUAUGGCCUUGGACAGCCUCCUUGAAGCCCAUUGGUGAUGAUUUUUGACCAAUAGGAAUGGAAAUUGUUAUCAUUCAUCUCCAUUCAUCUAUAUAGAUACCCUAAACUCUCUUUUUGCUACCAAAAUUCUUCUCUAAUUCUUUUCUUUACAAGAUUUAUUCAAUAUAUGUCCUAAAUACUAUAUUAAAAAAAAAAAAAAAAAAAAAAAAAAAAAAAAACUUUAAAGGUCACUAAUAUCUAACAAAGGUGACUCUAAAUAUUUAAAACUUAAUAUUAAUAAGAUCAACUUCAAAGUCACUAUCAAAAGAAAAUAAAGUUAUAUAAAUUCUAAUAGAAGUCCUUUUAAACAACCUCUUUUUGAGGUAGUAAUCUAUCCACAUUCUAUAAUCAACACAAAUCUAGUAACAUAGCUCUCACCAUGUUGUCUAAUAUAUUGUGCAUUAAAUAUAUAAAUACAUUAUUUUCACAUGGUAAUUAAACUACAACACGACAUUGUGAACAACCGAUUGGAAUAUGGUACAAUAGAUGGUUCUAAAAUUUCUAUCUUAAUCUUAUCAUUGAGUAAUUCAACUAGCUUUGGCAAAUGGACCUUUGGAAUUGGAAUUGGCUUCAAAUUCCAUGGUUCAUGUGGAAUUAUAAAAAUAACCAUAGAUGUUAUAAUACUUGGAUCAAUGCACCCUAUUUCAUGUGAUUCAAAUGAAAAUACCUUAUGAAGUUGUGAAAGCAUUUCUUUAAAUCAACCCUCUUCAUCUUUUGUCAAAAAUUUAUGACAUAUAAUUUUUAAACCAUCUAAUGUCAAAUCAUCCUUGAAUUCAUGACUUAUUUUCUUUGGAUCUUCAAAGUUUGGUUACAUAGAAGUCCCUUUAAUCCUUUCUUCAAAAUUUGAUGGUAGUGGCAAUGCUAUUGGUUUAAUCUUCUUCAUAAUGGUCUUAUAUUUUUUAUUUAUCUUCACUUCAUAUUUAUUCAUAUAUUCUUUUAUUCCAUUAUAAAAUUGCUUAAAAUAUACAUUUAUUAUCUUAUCACCUCCUUCAAAAUCUUCAUUUAAUAAUUUUUAUAAAUCAUCUAUAGUAUCAUCAAAAUAAGAUUUUUCAAAUAUCUUUGAUAUGUAUUCAUCUUCAUCAAUCAUUCUAUAUUUUUUUAAAUCAUGUUCUAUAUUUUUGAAAAUUUUCUUAUCUAUUCUUCUAAAAUUAUUUAUGUUUUUAAAUAAGAUAUAUCUAUCUUGUGAUAAUCCUAUAAUAUCCUCAUCUUUUCUACUAGGUGGGAAGCCUUCAUUUUUAUUUUUAUCAUCACAAUCCCGCUUUACAAUGAUGUCUAGUAAAAAUCCUUUGAGUCUUCAAGAUCUUCAAACUCUUUGUAUAUCUUUAGCAAAAGAUGCUCUCUCAAACUAUCCUGAUUUUUUCUAUGAUUUUCACAAAUUGUUAAAAAUUACAUCUCUUUCUUUCUGUCUUGACUUCUUAUCCUUGCAUAAGUUGAUCCAUCAUCCAUAAUCUUUGUUUCCAUUUUUUUAGCAGUAAUAUAUGGUUGUCUCAAAAUAAUAGAGUAUGUAAACAUAACUUGUACAAAGAAAAUUUAUUCAUGAAUAACAUCUCCUAUUAUCACCUUGAUAUUUAAACAAGUUCUAUACAAAUCUUCCUUUGAAUUAUUUGCUACUUGUAUCAUGCACCCAUGCUUAAUAUCAAUAUGCCAAUUUUUUAUUUUAUACAAUUCUAUUGACAUUAAAUUGAUUUUAGAAACAUAAUCAAUGAAUGCUGUAAUCAAUUUUUCUAAUUCUUUCAAUUUUACUAAAGUUUCUAUAGUAGCCCUUGUCCAAUGACUUCGAAAAUAAUGACUAAAAGCUUGAAUCAUAUCUUCUUUCUUUGUAAAUUUGACUCGUGAAACAUCUCUAAUAAUUUACAUUUCAACUUCUUCAUUUUCAUUGCUUUUUAUUGCCUUUGUAUCUUAUGCAUUUGAUAUCAUAGUAUUACUAAUAGAUUGCUAUUUUCUUUUUAUUGUAUCAAUGAUAACUUCAUGAAACUUCUAUUUUGUAAUUUCUAGAAUUUCAUCAAUUGUGAAUUUAAUCUUUCCACUUAAAAUCUGCUCUUCCAAUACCUUCUUCAAAGCUGUAGCAGCUUUUAUAUCUGAUUGUAAUUUAUAAGUGGGAACCUUUGUUUUUUCUUUUGUAAUCUCUUUUUCCUUUGUAGAAAUAUUCUUUGUUUUCUCUUCAUGCAAAGGAUUCUUCUGUUGUUGUGUUUUCUCUCUUCUUGUGAUUCAUCUUGAUGGCCCUUCUUGUUUUUCAUCUUUCUUUUGUUUUUCUUCUAUUAAUGCUUCAUAUUGACUCCUUGCAAUAUGAGCAUGAAUUGAUAACCUAUCUACUAGAUCAUCCCACCUAGUAAUUUUCCAAAUAUUAUUUCGAAUAUUUUUUAAAUCAUUUUUAGUAAAUUUUUCUUUUUUAGCAUAAUUCAUUACACUCAACUACAAAGAACUAGAUUUUCCUUGAUACUCAAGAUUUAUACUUAAAUAUUUUCUUGGAUUUGCUUCCAUUCAAAAUGUUGAUGCUUCAUUGCUUGAAAUUGUAUGUACUUUAAAAGCAUCUUCCACAAAUACCUUCAUUCUUCCUUUACCAAAAUUUUUCUCUAAUUUUUCUUCACUUUCUUUUAAGUGUAUCAUACCAUCUUUAAAAAAAAACAACUCUUUUAUGUAGCACCUCUAUAAAAUCUUCAUAUUUCCUUCUUGAAUGAUCUAAGCUAUUACAUCACAUGCACCUAUGCAUAAUACCUUCUAUUGGUCCCGAUUUUUGUUUUAUUGACAUUCUUGAUGUUUGAUCUUUUUCUUCAAGUUUUUAAAUUUUAAUUUGUAAAUCUCUCAUUCUAUGUAUGAUUUCAACUAUGCUUAUUUUUCUUUCUUUGAUAUAGACAUUGAGGGUUGAAUCAUAGAUAUAAGAUGAAUAGAAGGUAUUUUUGCCUUAGAUGUUUGUAAUGGUUUUUGAAUACCCACCUUGUCCUUUUUACUUUCUCUUUUUGCAAGUAAUCCUAUUUCCUCUUCUACUUUCUUCCAAUUUGUUGUCAAUCCUUUUUCUUCUUCUUCUUUAUUUUCAAGAAAAAUUUCCAACUUCUCUUGUAACUCUCUAUUAGUUGCUUAAAGAAAUAAUUCUACUUUGCUUGGAUCUAAUAAUUAUCUUUUUUUUUUGAUAAAUAGGAAUAUUUCUUUUCAAACUCCUUCAAUAAUUUUGUUGCUUGGAGAUCCUUCUUAGAUCUUUUAAUCUACUCAAAAAAUACCUUCUUUGUAAUUUUGUCACUAUCUUGUAAAAAAUACUCAUCUUUUAAUGCUUGAAAUAAAUUUUUCCAUGAACCUCUAAAUUGUCCUAUAAUGGACUUCACAUGACUUCUUAUUUGUGGUGUAGUAGCCAAUUCAAAUAAUUGAACCAUCUCCCUUUCUAAAACAUGCUUCAAUUCUAUUUCUUUUACAUAACACCUUAAAUACUUUAUAAUAUCAUUCUCUUCAAAUUGAUCGAUCUUGUCUACAAUCACUUGUAAAGUAUUAUUUGUCAUGCCCUCUUUGUGAUCUUUAACCUGUUGUUAUUGCAAGAAUAAGGCAAAAGCCUCAAACAUGCUUAUAGAGAUAGAAUUAGAAUAUAUACCUCGUCCUCCACUAGUUCUUCGACUUGUAGCUCCAAUUGAUACACUAUCUAUAGCUCUUCCUUCAACUCUCUUUUCUUCUUUCUCUACAAUUUAAAUAAUCAAAGAUAACCAAAUAUCUUCUAUCUCAAGUCUUUCAUGUCAAAUUUACCAAAAUAUGUUGUAUUAUGUGGUGUUUGGCUUGAAAAUACAUCAAACACCUGAUUGUAGAAGAUAAAAGGAAAAUUGCAACAACAAGACCUAAUAACUCUAAUAGAUUUUUAAUUAAAUUAUAAUUAAAUAUUAGCAAAUAAAAUAAAAAAUCAAUCAAAUUCAAUUAAAAUUUCAAAAGAAUUAUAUAAGAAAUACAAAGAAUUCUUGAAGACCUUUUUAAAAAAUCAUAAAAAAAUAAUAUAGUAAAUUAAAAUAUAUAUAUAUAUAUAUAUAUACUAAAAUAUAAAUCUCAAUAAAAAAUUAAAAUAAAAAUCUCAAUUAAAUCAUAAUCAAAACCUAAUCAAAUCUUGAUAAAAUCCUAAUCAAACCUUAAAUAAGCUCUAAUCAAAUCCUAGACAAAGUCUAAAAAAAUCUUAAUCAAACCUUCAUCAAAUUCAAAUCAAAUCCUAAAAAAAUCUUAAUCAAACCUUCAUCAAAUUCCUAUCAAAUCUUAAACAAAUCCAAACCAUAUCCUAAUCAAAUCCUAAAUAAAUCCUAGAAAAAUCCUAAAUAAAUUCUAGUCAAAUCCUAAACAUAUCCUAAAUAAGUCCUAUUAAAAUCUAAGUAAAAUUCUAAUGAAAUCCUAAUCAAAUCCUAAUCAAAUUUUAAUGAAAUCUUAGUCAAAUUCUAAUCAAAUACUAAUCAAAUCCUUAAUAAAUUCUAAUAAAAUCCUAGUCAAAUCUUAGAUAAAUCUUAAAUAAGCUUUUACCAAAUCUUGAAAAAAUCUUAAUCAAACUCUAAUCAAAUCCUAAUAAAAUCUUAAACAAAUCCUAACCAAAUCUUAAAUAAAUCAUAAUAAAAUCUUAGACAAAGCUUAAAUAUAUCCUAAUCAAAUCUUAAUCAAUUUUAAGUAAUUCCUAUAGAAGAUUUAAACCUCAAUAAUUAAUGAAUGAACCAUUGAUUUUAGCUCAAAUUUUUCACACCUCUUAAAAAUUAAGUUGAAAACAAGUACAAAAAAAAAUUGAAAAUAAUCAAAAUUAUCAAAUAGACGAUAACUUCAAAAAUGUUCUUAGGUCUCGGCAAGCCUCCUUCUUUGAUCUUGAUGCCAAUCUCUUAGAGCCAAUUAUUCUUGAUUGAACCAUUAUUUUGCUUCCAAACUUUAUACACUUAUUAGAAAUCAAAUUGACUAUCUUUAUGAAAAUAAUUUGCAUCAAUCUAAUUAGUAGAUUGACAAAUAUCUAAGAAAAUCUCAUUGGUCCUCAAAACCUUAAAUUUUGAGACCAUAAUCCACAAAAAUAUUCAUGUCUUUUAAUCUAAUUUUUUGAUCAAAUCUAAAUUUACAACAUACAUCAAAUACAACUACAGCUACAAACCUAAAAAAUUUCACCCAUAGAGCUAUUGCCUAACUUACAAAAUUCUCCAAAAAAGCUCAUCUAUGUUAUUUCACAAAUCCAGAGUCAUCCAAAACAAAUUCUAAAUUUGUAAAGCUCUUACAAAGUCAAUAUACAUUUAAAUCACUCCAAAUUAAUACUUAAAAAAAUUCUAUCAAGUCAACUCUUAGAUCCUAUUCUCUGAUUUCUAAAAGAACCUUAGAAUCAUUGUGAAGGCUUGGUUUUGUGCCUUAGGGUCUGAUUUUGACCCUAGUUGCUAACUAGUCCUCUCUGGAUAUCAAUUCUUGGAUUUCUAAGGUAAUUUUUACCACAAACUAUACUUAGCUUCUUUCCAAAGGUACUUGUAUUGAUUAUUUUUCUAAUCUACCUUAUUUGGCUCUAUUUGUAGUCAUACAAAGUGAAUAGAAUCCUAUUUUGUAAAAAGGUAGUAUUAGCACCUUUAAUUUUUCUAUCCCUUGACUAUUAUCUAUUUUUCUAAGAUAAUUUAUUACAAUAUAUUUGAAAUAAGAUCUUCAAAAAUAUAAUAUUUUUUUCAUCCUUUCACAUAUUAGCUAUUUUACAUCAUGAUAGUACAUAUAUAAGAAACUUACCUUGUAAGUUAAGACAUAUAUCUUACAAAUUAGAUACAUGUUGGAGAUCCUACAGAACGUUUUUAUAUAGCUUCUAGUUAGAUAAAAUACUUAGAGAAAAGAGUGAAGCCUUCUUUACUCUUGUCAAUGCUUUUUUGGUUCUUAGUCUUGUUUGAAGACUUUUUACUCCUCUUAUCUUUGGCAAUAGCCAUUGUAAUUCAAUAUAUUAUCAUUUUUAAGUGAUUUUCUAGUCUUUUUGAAUGACAUAAGAAUGUAUUAAAAUUUUAUUUUUUUGAAAAUUUUAUCCUUGAUGAUUUGAUAAGAAUAUUAAUUUAUUAUUUUUUUUAUUUUUAGAAGUGAAUGGACUAUUCUACUUCUAUUAUUAUAUUUAGAAAAAAAAUUUAUAGAUGCUAUUCUUAGCAAAAGUUAGUAUAGAUUUACAACCAUUAUAGAUCUUUAUGAGCUUGCCAACACUCUUAUGGUCGAAAUUUCAUAUAUCUAUAAUAACAACCAUAGAGGUUAUAUUCCAAUAUCUAUGGAAGAUAUCAAUAAUGAAGUUCAAAGUCUAUAUUACAAAGUUUUGCAAUUGAAAGAAGCAAGUAGAUCAAGUUCACAACUAAUUCUAAAUUUUUUUUUGCUACAAGUAUAAAAGAAGCAAGGAUAAGUAUGUCAAAGAAGUUUGAUAGAACAAGAUCAAAGAUUUAAAGAUUUCUAUAAUAAGUAAAGUUCUUUCUAAGGUUGCAUCUUUUUUAAUAUCUAAAUAAAUUUAUAUAAGUUAAAUUUAUAAAUAUAUUUCUUUCCAAGAGUAUUUUUUCUUGAUUUGCACCUUUGAUGAAAAAAAAAUCAUGACUACUUUAUAUUUUAAAUUCAUUCAUUAAAGAUUUCAUGGCCUCAUUUGAAGAAAGUGAUUAAAAAAUAAUAGCAAAGAUUAAACAUGUAUCUUUACAACAAGGAUCACAUUCAACUACCAUAUAUGCUACUAAAUUCUAAAAUCUUGCUUGCAAUGUGCAUUGAAAUAAUAAAACUAUUAUCAAUCAAUUUUGAUAUCAAUUUAACAAUAACAUUAAAGAUUUAUUAUUGAUAAUGCCAAAAGUAUAUUCAUUAGAAUUUUUUUUUGUUGAAUCUAUUGCAUGUGACAAUCAACUCUUUAAAAGUUGUCAAGAACAAAGAUUUUUUUAGGGAUGUACAAGUCAAGUCAUAGCAAUAGCUUCUAAAUUCAUAAAAGCUUAUUCAUUAAGACCGAAACCUAUGCAAAUUAAUAUAACACAUUUCAAACUUCUUACUAAGUAAGAAAAGACUUGAUGCCAUCAAAAAAGAUUGUAGUUAUAUUAUAAAAAACCUAAGCGUAAUAUUCAGUAUUAUUCAAAGAAAUAAUGCAACCAAAAAAUAAGGAACAUGGUUGCUAAAGAGGAUAUUGUAUAAGAAAACUAAUUUUUCUAGCUACAAUAGGUAUCAUAAAAUUGAAAGCUUAUGUAAUAUCUAACAAAGAUCUUAUCAUUUUUUUUAAAUCUUUUACCUUUUUCUAUAGUAGAAAUUUGUCCAAAAUCAAAAAUCACAAAAUCUUAGCUUUAUUAGAUUAAAUAGCUUCAGUUUAUUUUAUAAAUAAAUAUUUUUUUUAAAAAUUACAAAUAUCCUUAAUUAAAAAAAUCAAACUUCUACAUGUAGAAGUAAUUAAUGUUUAUUUGUUAUCUUUUAAAGAUAUCACUCAUGAAACUAUUCCUUUAGGUAUAGCAAUUAGUAGUCAUAAUAGCUUAAUAAUAUUUAAUGUAAUUAAAUCUUCUUUUAAUUCAAUUAUUUAAAGAUUAUUAUAAUUAAAAAAAUAUAAUCUCCAAAUAGACUAAAUUUUUUAUAACCUUGAUUUUUUCUAUAAUUUAAUCCAAGAUUUUGCUAGUUAAAUAGAAAUCCAUAAGUUCAAUAUGUCUAAAUCCUUAUUAGUAGGUGCAAGAGCUUUCAUACAUGUUAUAAUAAAAAUGUCAACUUUUGCUAUAUAUGCCAUACUUAUUUUUGAUAGAAAAAGAUUUGAAGUAGCAUUUUAAGUGAAUAUUAUGAUUAUCAAGACAUUUUUGAAAAGAAAAAUGUAGAUAUUUUUUCAAAGCACCAUCUCUAUGAUUGUUUCAUCAAUCUUGAAGAAAGAAUUCAACAACCAUUUAGACCAAUCUAUAGCCUAUUAUAGAAUAAGUCGGCUGCAUUUAGGAGGUAUAUUGAUAAGAUCUUAGCUAAGAACUUCAUUUGCUAUUUUAAAUCUCUAGUAGGGCUCUUAUCUCAUUUGUAAAGAAAAAAGACAACUCUUUGUAGAUGUAUGUAGACUAUUGAGGACUCAACAAGAUCACCAUAAAAAAAUAAGUAUUCUUUAUCUUUGAUUUCAAGACUUUUUAAUCAAUUCAAUUAAGAAAAGAUUUAUAUUAAAAUAGAUCUACAAAGAACAUAUAAUAUGAUAUACAUUAAAAAAAUAAAAAAUAAAAAACUACAUUUUGCACUAGAUAUGGAUAUUUUGAAUAUGAUGUCAUACCUUUUUGAUUUAUAAAUGUAUCAAUUGCAUUUCAAUAUCUAAUAAAUGAUAUCUUUUAUAAGUUUUUUGAUAAUUUUAUUAUCUAUUAUUUAUAUGAUAUUUUAAUCCAUUCUAAAAUUAUAAGAAAGCAUGAAUUUUAUACAUUGUUAUGUGCUACAAAAACUAAAAGAUAUAAGAUUGUAUGACAAGAUAGUAAAGUGUAUAUUUUAUACUAUUCAAAUUAGCUUCUUAAGAUACAUCAUUUCAAAUAAUGACCUUAUGAUGGAUUAUAAAAAUAUUUAGACUAUUGUGGAUUGGAAGAUCUCAAAAAUAGCUAAAGUUAUGUAAUAUUUUUUAAAAUUUAUUAAUUAUCACCAAAUCUUCAUCAUGAAUUUUUUUUCCAAUUGCAAAUCUUCUUAAAUGUCUAACUUUUAAAGAUAAACUUGAAUGGAAUAAAAAAAUUAAAAUAUAUUUUUGAAUAUUUGAAGUUAAUAUUAAUUAUUAUACCAAUCUUAUAUUAUGUUGACUAUUCUAAGACAUUUUUUAUGAAAAAAAAUACAUCAUAUUUUUUUGUGGGUGUGAUUUUACCAUAAAUGAGAGUAGAUGAUAAGCUUUAUUUUGUAGCUUUUCAUUCCAAAUUUUUUUGAAUAAUCAAAAUUAAUUAUGAAAUCUAUAACAAAGAGCUUCUUGCAAUCAUAGAUUUAUUUCAAAAACAAUAUUGUUAUUUGGAAGAUGCUUUUAAUUUAGUCACCAUUUAUAUGGAUUAAAAGAAUCUCAACUAUUUCAUAUUAGGACCUGUUUUGAAUCAUCUCCAAGCCUAUUAGUGCAUGUCUUUAUGAAGAUUUGAUUUCAAGAUCACUUAUCAAUUUGAAAAGUAAUAAGAUUUGUCAAAUACCCUUUCUAGAUGUUUAUAUUAUGUAAAAAAAGAAAAAAAUAUAUUUUUUUAUCAAUAUUAAAUGAAUCUCUUGAAGCCAAAGUAUUUCCAUCUUCAAGCAAUUAAAUCAAUAUUAACUAUUGAUUCAACUCUUUUCAAAAAAAUUUAAUCAAGUAUACCUUCUAAUCUCUUUAUUCAUGAUAUUAGGAAUAAUUAUUUUAAAUCUUAAGAUACUUCUAAAUUUGAAUUCAAAAAUAAUAUACUUUAUUUUAAGAGACAAAUGUAAAUUCUAAAAGAUGAAUCAUAAUUAUGUAUUUUUUAAGCUAGUCAUAAUUUUCUAAUAGUCGAAUAUUUUGGAUAUAAUAAAAAUUCGGAGUUAAUAUCUAAAGAUUUUUGGGGGCUUCAAAUAUAGAAGGCAAUUAAAGACUUUAUACAAUCAUGUGACAUUUGUUCAAGAUCAAAAAUUCUUUAUUAUUGACCUUACGGAUUUUUUCAACCAAUAUCUGUUCUAAAAUAACCAUGAUCUUGAACCUAACAAUACUUAGCAUCAACAAGGUUGUACCCAAGAGAAGUGUGGAGUAAGAUAGUUCUUAUUUCCAACAUUCUUUAUUUAUAGUUGGAAUCUUUAUCUACAAUCAUAUUUAUCCUUCUUUGUUACAUUCAACUAAAUCCUAGAUUCAUCUUAAUGUAGCUGCUACUAUAAUAAUUUCUUUUAAUUCUUUAAUACCUUUAGAUUAUUAGAAAAUUACUAUGAUUUAAUUCUAUGUAGUGGCAACUAUGCAAGAUCUUUCUAAUCUUUAGUACUUCAAUAGAAUUAAGAAGUAGAAGCAGUAUUUAAAGCUUUGAAGAUAGUCUUUGUUUUUAGACCAAUCUUAUAUAAUGCCAAUUUUUUUAAACUAUUUUGAAUAGAAAUAAAUAUAUCAAAUCUUAUUUUGAAUGCCAUGGUUGUAUAGUAACAUAAUUAUAUAAUAAAAAAUAAAAAUAUGGAUGUUAUUACAGAUGAGCUUAGUAGAGAGAUGUAAUAGAAAAAUAAGGAUAAAUGAUAGAAAGGUAGCAAAAUAUUUAGUCUUAAUACUACCUUUUAUAAAAAGAACUUAUAUUUACUUUUUAGACAUAUAAAUAAAUUAAAUCAAAGUAAAUAAAAUAAGAAAUUUAUAUAGGCAUAUUUAAAAAAGAAUUAACAACAGAUUAAAGCAAAACUUACUUCAAAUUAUCAAAUUGAUACUUGGAGAGGACCAAUUAUCAACUAAGAUUAAAAUCAAAUCUUGAGGUACAAAACCACAUUCAUAUGACAACUCUAAGGUUUUUUUCUAGAUUGAAGAGCAAAAUUUGAAAGCAAACUAAAGAAAAGAUUUUUAGACAUUAGUAUCAUAUCAUUUGAAUCAAUAUGAAGAUUUUGAAGGAUUUUUAAAGUUAGUUAUGUUCUUGGUAGGAUGAAGGUUUGAGAAAUAAAAUUAUUUUUAUAAAUUUAAGGAUUUCUUAAAUUUUUUAAUGUAUAUAUAGGUGAAACUUGGAUAUUGUAUUGAUGUAUUAGUUAUAAAUAUAUAUGCAAAUUUUGAAGUCAAUCAAAUGAUUAGAUUGAAGUAAAAGAGGAUUUUUGUAGAUUGAGAUCUCAAAAAUUGGAGUUUGAAGGUCAAUGAGUGUUUCUAAGAUCUUCAACAAUUUAUUAAUUGAACUGAAGUGUAUUUUUUUUUAUAGAUAUUAGACUUGAUUUUCAAUAUUUAAGUGAAAUUUGAGAGCAAUUAAAGAACAAGAUAUUGGCAUUGGAAAUUCAACAUUCAAGUUGAAGUAGGAGGCUAUUCAAUACUCAAUUGGAUUAUCUUUGAUUUCUUUCAAUUUAUAAGUGCAAUCAAUUUCAACUUUCUUUUACUUGUUUCUAAUUAAGAUAUUAAAAAGUUUGCAAAUUUUGAAUUGAUAUCGACAGUUCAAUCAUUAGUUGUUGAAGUUUUAAUCUGCUAUAGAAUUUGUUAAGAGUUUGUUUAAGAUGUAGAGUUUGAUUAGGAUUUGUAUAGACUUUGGUUUAAUAUUUAUUUAAGAUUUAGGAUUUCAUUAGGAUUUCAUUAGGAUUUGACUUAGAAUUUAAUUAAGAUUUAAUUAGAAUUUCAAUUAGAAUGUAAUUUAUGAUUUGGUUAAGAUUAAAUUAGAAUUUUAAUUAAUAUUUGAUUUAAGAUUUGGUUAAGAUUCAUUAAGAUUUUAUUUAGAUUUUAAUUUUAAAAAUUAUAAUUUAUUUAAUAUUUUUAGUAUUUUAAAAGAAUUUUUAACAUUUCUUGAAAAAAAUAUUUUUAGUAUUUUUUAAGAUUAUAAUUAUUAUUUCUUUAAUGGUUAAUUUUUAUAUUUUUUAAAAAUUUCUUAUUAUUUUUCUUUGAAAUUAAUUUAGGACUUUUUUGUAUUUUUUUUAUAAAUUCUUUUAAAUUAUAUAAAAUUGGUCAAAAUUUGAUUAGGAUUAUUAAGAUUUAUUUAAAGUUCAUUUGUGAUUUUAUUAGACUUGAUAGGAUUAUUGCAGUAUUUCUACUUAUCUUUUAGAGUUAGGUGCCUAGUACAUUUUCAAGCAAGAAUACACGUAGUACAAUACCGUAUUAUUAUAAGUAGGAACAAAUAAUAAUCUUUAUCUAGUAGCUUUUUAUUCAAGAUAAUUUUUAGUAGUUAAGAUCAACUAUAAGAUUUACCACAAAAAACUUCUUACAAUUAUAGAUUUAUUUCAAGAAUAGGGCUUUUUUUAGAAGGCACUCUUAAUCUAGUCACUAUGUACAUAGAUUAUAGGAAAUUUGAGUAUUUUAUGUCAGUAUGUAUUUUAAAUUGUUACCAAGUUAUGUUCUUGUUAAGAUUCAAAUUCAAGAUUAAUUAUUGACCAAAAAAAAAAUAAGAUUUGUUAAAUACACUUUUUAGAUGAUCUUAUCUUGUAUCAAAGGAAAAAAAUGAUGAUUUUGAAUAAUAACAAAUAAUUCUCUUAAAGCCAAAGUAUCUUCAUUUUUUAGCAAUGAAAUAAAUAUUAAUUUUUGUUUCAACUUUCAUUAAGCAAGUUCAGUCAAAUAUGUCUUUUGAUCUUUUUAUUUGUGAUAUUAAAAAAAAUCCUUCAAAGUUUCAAUUCAAGAACAAUCUAUUAUAUUUUGAAGGGUGAUUAUAUGUUCUAAAAAAUAAAAAUUAAUUACAUGUUCUUUAGGCUCAUCACAACUUUCUAGUAGUAUGACAUUUUGGAUACAAUAAGACUUUGGAGCUAAUAUCUAGAGAUUUUUGGUAGCUCUAAAUGUGGAAGAUGGUCAAAGAUUUUGUACAAUCUUGUGAUAUUUGCUCAAGUUCAAAAACUCCUCGUCAUCAACCUUAUAGAUUUCUUUAGCCAUUAUCCUUUUUAGAUAAUGAUGGUCUUUUGUUUCUAUAUAUUUUAUCAAAGAUCUUCUAGUCUCAUAUUCUUAUAACUCUAUAUUUGUAAUAGUAGAUUGUUUCAUCAAGAUGAUACAUUUUAUACCAUAUAUAAAAUCUAUCACAAGUACAAAAACAACUAAGUUUUUUUUGACAACAUCUAUUAUUAUUAAAGGUUGUCCAUGAAUAUAAUAUUGAAUAGGGAAAUAUAAUUUGUAUCAAGAUUUAAAAAAAUGAUUUUCAAGAUUUUAAAGGUAGACAUAAAACUAUCUUUGGAUUUUUAUCCUCAAAUAGAUGGACAAAAAAAGUAUUUAAAUUAAGUUUUAGAGCACUAUUUGAUGUGUAUCAUCAACUACCUAUAAGAUAAUUGGAGAACUCUUUUGUCAUUGGCAGAGUUUUCUUAUAAUAACAUGGUGUCAUAUUAUAAUAUAAGUAUAUGGUAAAAAUAUAAUCAAAAAAUAAAUUUCUAAUUAAUAUCUAAUCAUCUUGAUUCAAUAAUAAUUCAAGACAUUUAAACAUGGCUUAUAUAAAAGCCUCUUAAUUUAUUUUCUUAUCUUAAUAGCUAGUAGAUUAAAGGUUGAUUAGUAAUUUUACCUUUUAGGCUAUAGAAAUUCUUUUAUUCCCUUAGAAAGGCCAUAAAUUAAUAAAAAUAGAAUAAAAAAAAAUAGUUAAUAUAAUUGAUACUAAGAAUAAAUUGAAGAUAAGGUCAGGCUAAAAAAUUCUUAGAAUAGAUUGAGUUGAUACUUAGGGGGCACCAUUUGUGGAACAAGGUCGAAAUUAGAUCUCUAGCCAUUAAAACGGCUACUUAAGGCAAAGUAUAUGGAUAUUUGGAGAUUGGUUAUUAGAAUUGGAGAACUAGCUUUAAGUUUUUUAAAAAAAAUUAAAGCUUAUUUUGAUAAAAUAUGUGAUAAUUUUGUAAUUAUUAUUCAAAGUUAAGGUGAGUAUUAAUAACUUUGGAUUUAUAUAAUAAAAUUAGAACUAACAUUCUUAGCUAGUUCAUGCAAUUGGUAUCACUUCUACAAUUCAAAAUUUGAUUAUACUUAGUUGAUUGAGUAUACUAAGAGUGUAUAAAAAUUUGUAUUAAUCUAAAAUUGUAGUUAAAAGAUAUCUAGAUUUUAAUACAAGAUGAUAUCAAAAAUUGAUAGUUUGGAAUUAGGUAGAAUUUCUAUAAUAUCUAAAGAUCUACUAAUUAGAAUUAGAUAAAAUUUGGCAUAGUAUUAAAAAACUUAAAAAUCAAGCUAUAUACUAAUUUCGAGUUAAAGUUAAUAGUUGAAGAAGGAAAAAUUGCUAUUGGAAUAUCUGCAUCAAUCUUCAAAUUUGCAGCCAAAAGACAUCAAUGUAAUUUUUUAGAGGUUUUCUUACAAUCUAUAUGUUGCAUUGGGCUGAAUUUUUUUUGAACAUAUAAAAGACAUAUAGUGGCAUUUGUGUGAAUUUUUUUGUACUAAGUAGAUAGUCAAAUUAAGAAUUAUAGCUUACUAAAGCUUACUAAUUAGGAUUAGGACUUGCAAAGAAAAAUCAUAAUUGCCUCAUUAUAAAAGUAAUAAGGCAAUUGGAGUUUGUGUAUAGUUGAAGUUACUAAAAAGAGUUUUUUUGAGUACUUUGUAUUGACUUUAAGAACUUUUGAAUUAAAAUUUGAAUUACAUUCUUUUUAUAUAUAUGAAAGCUAUUAAGAUUUCUUAGAUACUUAUAAAAUAAAAUUUCACCUUCUAUAGCCAAGUGCUCAAUAUAUUUUCAAAUAAGACAACAUGUAAUAUAAAAAUGAUAUAUUCUUCUAUGUAAUAAAUACAUUUAUUUUUUUAAUUAUGGUUAUCAUUCAUAAUUUGAUCCUUUUAACUAUUCAAAAGUUAAUAAUCUUAUCAUAGAAGAUUUGACAAAUCAUUUCUGUGAACUACAUACAAGAAUGAAGGUACAUUUAAAAGAGACUCAAGAACAACAAAAGAGCAAUGCAGAUGCUUAUUACAAGGGACAAUGUCAUUUUCACGUUUGUGAUAAAGUAUGGUUACUUUGUCAUAAUAUUAAAAUAAUUUAUCUUUAUAAUAAAUUGGAUUAUCAUAGACUUAGAUCAUUUUCUAUUUGUAAGCAAGUUAAUCCAAAAGCUUAUUAAUUAUAACUACCAGAGUCUAUGAAAAUCCAUUCCAUAUUUUACACAUGUUAUUUGAAGCCAUAUAAGAUAGUGAAUAUCUUAGAAAGAAGACAAAUACCACUGUCUUUUAUAGAAAUAGGUAAUAAUCAAGAAUUCAAAGUAGUAGAAGUUUUAGACUUGAGGCAUUGCUAACUUAGGUUAAAAUAUCUUAUUCAUUGGCACAAAUAUGAUACUAGCAUAUGUACAUAGAAAUUUAUAAAAAAUCUUACAAAUAUAGCAAAGAAAGUCAAAGCUUUUUAUCAACAACAUCCAUCAAAACUAAGAUGAAAGAAAGUAAAUCUGUACUAUAAAAGAAAUAUAAUUUAGAAAAAAUUACAUUCUAUCUUCUAUCUUUAUUUAUAGUUUUUAUAUAAUUAUGAUAUUAAAAAGAUAAAAAAUCAAUAGCCAAAAAAUUAUCAUCAACAUAUACAUUUAUUUCAAUAAUUAUUUAUAUGAUUAGAUAGAAAAAGAUAAAUAUGGAUUAAUUUCAUAAAGUCUUAGUGAAGCUUCCUACAAGCUUCAUAGACGUAUUUUGAUUUUAGAUGUGUUUGUAGGUAAAAAAAUUGGCCAACAAGUUAACCACGUGUUGCUAGCUUAUGGAACAAGUUAACUCUAUAUAAUAGCUUAUAGAACAAGCUAAUCAUGUGGCACAUAUAUAGAUAACUUGCCUUGCAAGUUAAGACAUGUGGCUAGCAAAGUCAACAUAUUUUGGAGGUCCUAUAGGACAUCGCCAUGUAGCUCCUAGUUAAGUGUAUAUAUGGAGGCAAGAGUGAAGCCUUCUUCAUUCUUAUCAAUGCCAUUCUAGUCCUUAGUCUUAUUUCAAGACUUUUCAGUCUUUUUAUUUUUGGCAAUAGCCAUUUUAGUUAAUAUUAUAUUAUCUUUUGAGUGACUUUCUAGUUCUCUUCAAUGACACAAGAGUAUAUGAAGGAUUCUCUUUCUUUGAGAUUUAUGUCCUUGAUAGUUUGACAAAAGUGCUAACAUAAUAUUUUUGUCUUGUUUUAGAAGUAAGUGGAUUAUCUCACUUCUAUUGUUAUUUUUUAAAGGUUGUAGAUUACCUAUCUUUUGAACAAAAAUAUUCUUAUUUUUAAACAUUGAUCUUUCCUUAAAGAGAUUGGAUUAUCUUUCUUUGUAGAAAUUUUUAUUAAAGGUUGAAGAUUACUUUUCUCUAAUUUAACUUUUUGAAUUUAUUUGAAUUACCUAUAGAAGAAAAGAUUAUAGAUGCCACACCUAGCAAAAGUGAGAAUAGAUUUACAACUAUUGUAGAUCUUUAUGAACUUGUCAAUACUCUUAAAAUAGAAAUCUCACAUAUUUCUAAUAUGUAUCAUAGAGGUACUAUGCAUCAUAGACCUAUAGAAGAAGUUCAAAGUCUGAGACAAGUAGUUGUACAAUAUUUUUGAAAGAAGCAAGUAGAUUGACCUCACAACCAAAUCCAAGGAAUUUGUUUGUAUAAGUAUAAUAGAAACAAGGAUUAGUAUGCCUCAGAAGUUUGAUGGAAUAAGAUCAAAAUUUUGAGGAUUUUUGCAACAAAUCAAGCUCUAUUUAAGGUUGCACCUUUUUAAUAUCCUCAUGGAUUUACUUAAGUUGGAUUCAUAAGUGCACUUCUAUCAAAAAAUACUCUCUCUUGAUUUACACAUUUAAUAGAAAAAGAUUUGUGACUCCUUUAUGAUUUGAAUUCAUUCUUAGAAGUUUUUAUGCCUAUAUUUGGAGAAAGUAAUCGAGAAUAAGUAGCAGAGACCAAACUCU
rnacentral:lncRNA from 1 species